GACGAAGGAUGCAAGCGUUAUCCGGAUUCAUUGGGUUUAAAGGGAGCGUAGGCGGCCUUGUAAGUCAGUGGUGAAAUCUUUCCGCUUAACGGAAAAACUGCCAUUGAUACUGCUUGGCUUGAGUACAGAUGCUGUGGGCGGAAUAUGACAUGUAGUGGUGAAAUACAUAGAGAUGUCAUAGAACACCGAUUGCGAAGGCAGCUCACAAAACUGUAACUGACGCUGAGGCUCGAAAGUGUGGGGAUCAAACAGG
rnacentral:rRNA from 1 species